rnacentral:rRNA from 1 species
GCUAUUUAGGUUAGAGUUUGAUCAUGGCUCAGAACGAACGCUGGCGGCAGGCCUAACACAUGCAAGUCGAACGGGCGUAGCAAUACGUCAGUGGCGGACGGGUGAGUAACACGUGGGAAUAUGCCUUUCGGUUCGGAACAACUCGGGGAAACCCGUGCUAAUUCCGGAUACGCCCUUACGGGGAAAGAUUUAUCGCCGAAAGAUUAGCCCGCGUUGGAUUAGCUAGUUGGUGAGGUAAAGGCUCACCAAGGCGACGAUCCAUAGCUGGUUUGAGAGAACGACCAGCCACACUGGGACUGAGACACGGCCCAGACUCCUACGGGAGGCAGCAGUGGGGAAUCUUGGACAAUGGGCGCAAGCCUGAUCCAGCCAUGCCGCGUGAGUGAUGAAGGCCUUCGGGUUGUAAAACUCUUUUGGCGGGGACGAUAAUGACGGUACCCGCAGAAUAAGCUCCGGCUAACUUCGUGCCAGCAGCCGCGGUAAUCGCC